UGAGAGUGAAACUCUAGAUUUCUCAUCAUUUGUUCCUAGCCAUUUUGCUGCCUUGCAGCUAUUAUAAUGAAAGAUGUUGAUUUUAUGCCAUUUAAUUUUCUAUAUUCUUCUUAUCAUUAAAGUGCAAAAUCUAGGGGAUUGAGAACGUCAUCAUGUGCACAUCGGAUGCUGUGCUAAGGAAGAAAGCUUUUGAUGUAUUGGAAAGGAUUAGUGUUUUUUACUUAAGAUGUCUGCUCUUGCAUCACUAAACAGCAAUGAACCGCUCAAGAGGAAAUUGAAGUAGUGGAAGAGUUUUUGAAGCAUAGGUAAGGGGUUUUGGCUCCAAUAGGUAAGGGGUUUUGGCUCCAAAAUUGCCGAACUCAUUAUAUGGCCGAUAUUUGCUAAUUUGCCUAUAGAUCUUCAAGCAAAGAUAUUUUAACCCACGCCAGAAGGUGCUGGUAAGGUGGUCCUUGCGACAAAUGGUUUUAAGGUUGUAUUUAUAAUUGAUUCGUGCAGAGCAUAACUGGAUACAUAAUGUGGACGGGGCUCCCAACGUUUCACUUGGACAAAAUGUCCGGAUGAGGAUAAAGCAAUUCGCUUUUAUGAAUAAGUUCAAGAAGAAAGUUCUCAGAGUAGUAGCAGACAAUUUGCCUGAUGAGCAAGUGGAUCAUAUCAAAGAGAUGUUCGACGUGAUGGACACCAAUAAAAAUGGAGAUUUGACAUUUGAAGAGUUGAAACAUGGCUUGCACAAAUAUGGACAGCAAGUUGCUGAUCCUGAUGUGCAGAUGUUGAUGGACGCAAUAAGAUCACCUAUUCAACAGCUUAGCACAUUUUGAAUUCUUUGACAAGAAUUGAAGUGGAUAUAUUGAAUUCAAUGAGUUGAAAGAAGCUUUGAUAGAUGACAAUCUUCGUCCGAACAACGAAAACUUUAUUGAAGACAUCAUUUCCGAUGCUGAUCUAGAUAAGGAUGGUCGAAUCAGUUAUGAUGAAUUCAAGGCCAUGAUGAAAAUGGGCAUGGACUGGAAAAUGGCUUCACACCAGUAGUCAAGAGCGAUGCUGAACGCGCUUAGUCAGAAGAUGUUCAAAGACAAACCUUCUUCUCUCAUAGGCUAAAAGAUGUUCCACCCAUGGCUUCUCUCAUAGGGUAUUGGGAAGGAGGCAUUGUACAAAAUCAUUGCAUUGGUUUGCUAGUGUAGGGACAUAAGUGCUGUGAAAAUUUUGAAGAAAUUGGGUAUAAAUAGUCAGAUUCCUACACCGCUUGG